GAUGAACGCUGGCGGCGUGCCUAAUACAUGCAAGUCGAGCGAACGGACGAGAAGCUUGCUUCUCUGAUGUUAGCGGCGGACGGGUGAGUAACACGUGGAUAACCUACCUAUAAGACUGGGAUAGCUUCGGGAAACCGGAGCUAGUACCGGAUAAUAUUUUGAACCGCAUGGUUCAAAAGUGAAAGACGGUCUUGUUGUCACUUAUAGAUGGAUCCGCGCUGCAUUAGCUAGUUGGUAAGGUAACGGCUUACCAAGGCAACGAUGCAUAGCCGACCUGAGAGGGUGAUCGGCCACACUGGAACUGAGACACGGUCCAGACUCCUACGGGAGGCAGCAGUAGGGAAUCUUCCGCAAUGGGCGAAAGCCUGACGGAGCAACGCCGCGUGAGUGAUGAAGGUCUUCGGAUCGUAAAACUCUGUUAUUAGGGAAGAACAUAUGUGUAAGUAACUGUGCACAUCUUGACGGUACCUAAUCAGAAAGCCACGGCUAACUACGUG
rnacentral:rRNA from 1 species